GUGUAUGUAUAUUAGGUGAGUGAGUUAUAAAAAAAUGAAGGGUUAGGUUUUACAUAUAUGGUGAGAGUUUCCUUAGCUUUUGCUCUCUCUCUCUCUCUCUCUUUCUCACAGUUUGCUUUAGGUUACGUUUUGUUCCAUUUUCUUCUCUCUUUCUCUUGCUCUUUCUCGAACGAGUUUGAGAUGAGAACAAUGGUUUUUUCAGAUCAAAAUUUUACGUGGCUAUGCCUAUAUAGAUCUUUGUUCCUUUAUCUUUUUCUCAGAUGUGGCUGGUGAUGGGAGAUUGGGGUUGAUGGGAAUGUUGUUUGGCUCGAGGAAUCUGCAUGAGGGUGAGGUGGUUUUGCCUUUGUUCAUCUUUUGAAGCUUCUAAUUUCUGGGUUUCAAUCUUUGAAACUUUGAAAGGAAGAAAAGCUUUAAAGAUUGGAUUUUGAGGCUACCCAUCGUGUGAUCUCGGACCAGGCUUCAUUCCCGUUAACCUGAUCUCUCUCUUUCUCAUGGCGGUUUCAGGCUGAAGCAAAACUCUCUGACGUUGUCUGCCCAAUGAUGAGAAACUCUACAGUUUGUGUUUCUGAAUUCAGACAUUGCAUGCGACAAAACUUUUAAACAUUUGUCCAAAACUAAGAUUAAAAGGAUGUCUUUUGACCUAGUACUUGGUGCUUUUACUUGCCAUAUAUAUUUCUUGUGGUUCCAUAUAUAUCUUCUUUUUCUUCAGCAUCUCUCUUGUGAUUUAAUUUAACAAAUUUGAGAUUUUGUGUGCUAUUGAUUGCAUCUAACUAAAAGGGAUCAGACUUCAAAUCUUUGUAAUUUAUUUUUCUAUAAUGAUUUGUGAGUGAUUGAUAUCAGUUUUUUUAAGUUAAAUAAUAUGUUUUGAGAAACCCAAGGAGCUUUGAAAUUCUGUAUUCUGUCAGUAUAUAGGUUUUCCCAGCUAUAGCAUCUUAGGGUUUGAGAUUCCCAACCAUCUUUUGUAGUUGUCAAUGAGUUUCAUUUCAUGGAAGUAGUUGGCUGUACUUUUUUAGGUAAAUAGAGAUUAAGCUGUACAUUGAAGAUAUGCAUGAAGUCGAGAUAAAUGGAUCUGGAACAAAAUUUGUGUGAAAUACAUUUUCCUUUCACCUUUCUCCUCAAUUUUAGUGUUUUGCUUCUUUCAAUGUAUAAAAGGUGGAAGAAGGAUAUAAUUUCUAAUAUGACUUUACAGUCUUUGCAGUUGCUGUCACACAUGGUAACAUUUAUCUGCACGGUUCUCAAGGUUUCUGCAAUUUAGAAUCCUUGAUUCUCAUUUUCUGAUCAAACAUGUUAUAGUUUUUUUUGUUGCCUCGGAUAUUGAUUUUGAUCAAACUUAUUGAUCUUUCUAUCUC